GUUGUAUCAUUUAUUAUUGGUGUUUUCAUGCAGAUUGGAUUUAUAUAUUGGAACGCCAAUGCAAUUUAUUUGGAGAGUACUCAAGGUAUAUCAUCGGCUAUAUUUAAUGGAGACUGGUAUUUAUUAAAUCAAAAGUCUCAAAAAGAUUUGUUGUUGAUGAUGAUGAGAACAAAAGUUCCCUCACGAAUAAGUAUCGGACCUUUUUCUACGGUAAAUCUGCAAGCUGUUUUACAGAUAUUAAAAUCUAUUUAUUCAUAUGUAGCAGUAAUGUAUAAAAAAUAGAAGACAAUCUUUGAAAAAUGCACAUGUAGCUGCAAGUGACUUCAAUUUAUUCAUAUUCACCUAUAUCAGCAAUAGACAAAUAACUUAAUUGUU